rnacentral:RNase_P_RNA from 1 species
GAGGAAAGUCCGGGCUUAUCAGUAGGACUUGUUGCAGGAUAAGCUCCUGUGCAAGUAAUUGCGAGGCCAGUGCCACAGAAAAUAAUACCGCUAUAUCAUAUUUAGUAAGGGUGCAAUGGUGUGUGUUCUAGUUUUAAGUCUCUAUUAUUCUUUUGCUUAUAUGAUUUUUUUACAACAAGGUUAUCUAAUUACUAGAAAAAAAAGAAAACUAUGGCUUGAUUAACUUAUUAUAUUUUUUGUUGCUUCGUCAUUUUAACAUUCAGUGUACGUGUGAUAUUGUAUUAAGUCAUUACUAUCAUAGUUUUAUCUUUCUAGCCUAAAUUGUAAAGUAAGUUAUAAAGACUUUACAACUUAAAUGAAUCUUUAUGAAAAACCCUCAUUAUAUCGCCUAGACAUUGUGCAGAUCAAUUGAGACUUUCUGAGCAUUCUUUACAUAAAUGUAAAUUUAAUGUUCUCUAAAAAGCUUAUGCUCAUUUAGUUAAAAGCGCACCAGUGAUGCUGAGAAGUGUCUGCUAGGUAAACCCCAACAAAAAAGCAAGCUCGCCUGUUAUUUUUAACUGCUUAUAAUUGGCGAUUAAAAAGUGCAUAAAGUUGUUAGUAAUUUUAACUUCAGAUAAAUAACCAUCCUUUUAAGUAUUAAUAUCGACUAUUGAUAUCUUAAAAGAACAAAACCCGGCUUAA